rnacentral:rRNA from 1 species
GUCGAACGGCAGCGGGGGAGCUUGCUCCUGCCGGCGAGUGGCGAACGGGUGAGUAAUGCAUCGGAACGUGUCCUGUUGUGGGGGAUAACUGAUCGAAAGAUCAGCUAAUACCGCAUGAGACCUGAGGGUGAAAGCGGGGGAUCGCAAGACCUCGCGCGACAGGAGCGGCCGAUGUCUGAUUAGCUAGUUGGUGAGAUAAAAGCUUACCAAGGCGACGAUCAGUAGCUGGUCUGAGAGGAUGAUCAGCCACAUUGGGACUGAGACACGGCCCAGACUCCUACGGGAGGCAGCAGUGGGGAAUUUUGGACAAUGGGGGAAACCCUGAUUCAGCCAUGCCGCGUGCGGGAUGAAGGCCUUCGGGUUGUAAACCGCUUUUGUCAGAGACGAAAAGGGACGUACGAAUAAUACGUUCCGCUGACGGUAUCUGAAGAAUAAGCACCGGCUAACUACGUGCCAGCAGCCGCGGUAAUACGUAGGGUGCAAGCGUUAAUCGGAA